UGGCGUACUCGGGGUCGAUGGUCGGGUCGACGGUGGGGUAGAGUCGUCCCACGAGGUUGACACAGUGCACUCGGCCGACGGAGUGAGCUCCUGCGACGACCAAGAGGAACGACGUGAAGACAUCUCAAGGGACGAAGAUCAGCGAGGCCGUGAAGCUGUCGCACCUAAAAGAGCCACUGUUCGUUCUGCAUCGAUUCCUAUGGAUCUGAACCGAGAGAGCACGAGGGAGAUGGAGUCGUUGUGGUUGGGGAUGUCCUUGUCUAUCACGUCGGCGUGGCUUUCCUUGCUAUCUCGUCUGCCGGUCCUCAUCGGAAUGAAUGGUCCUCCCAGCUAUCGGCAUUGACCGGAGAAAGCAUCAGUAGUAGAAGAGAUCGACGACGGCGACCUCAGCAAAGCAUGCAGGAAAGAUAUUUAGGACGAAACAGGCGUACC
rnacentral:lncRNA from 1 species